UGCGUAGGCGGCCCGUUAAGUCAGGGGUGAAAUCCCGCAGCUCAACUGCGGAACUGCCCUUGAUACUGGGGGGCUCGGAUCGGCUCGACGCGGGCGGAACGUGGCAUGUAGCGGUGAAAUGCUUAGAUAUGACACAGAACACCGAUUGCGUAGGCAGCUUGCCAGAGCCGUAUCGACGCUGAGGCACGAAAGCGUGGGGAGCGAACAGGAUUAGAUACCCUGGUAGUCC
rnacentral:rRNA from 1 species